UAUUGAGAAUAGUUGCCGAAUUAAGGAACAAUAGUUUCAAAUUUCACUACGAUAUUAGUUCCGUUCAAAAUGGCUGCCUGUCUUUAUUGAUUAGAAUAAUGUCGUCGUAAAGUGAUUCAUAUUAUUUAGUACGUUACAUUUGAAGAAUGUUAUUGUUAUUCUUUUAGGUAACGAUGCAAAGGACUUUUAAACCAAAGAAAUGUUUAUUGUGAGGGCUCUAGAGACGAUACUCAGCGACCAAGAUAUAAAGUGGUAGCACCACUCCCGGUUGAAACGUGCUUGAUACGAAACGAACUGAAAGGUGCAGGUCAGGAUGCCCCUAAUCCAUCAUCUGCCUUGCCAUUACCAAAGAAUGAUGAAGCCAAUAUCAUUACAGCAGAGAAAUACUUUCUUCCAUUUGAAUUGGCAUGUCAGAGCAGAUUGUCUUCAGAAACUCAUAGCUUAUGGACAUUAAGCUGGAAAUAUUCCUGUCUCAGCUACUCCAGGAAAAUAUCUUAUGUGUAUGUUUCGGUGGCCCACAAACAGAUGAAGGGGUUCAGUUACGAAUGAUAAAGGUAAUAGAAUUUAUAAAUUAAAUAAAUGUUUAAGUGUUGUGAUCCAUAACUGAUGAUCACUCAUUGCCCUGAUUAUGGAAGCAUAAGGAAAAUAUUGAGAAAUAUAGUUGUAUUUACCAUAGUAGAAAUAUACAUUGUACAGUGUU